rnacentral:rRNA from 1 species
GUAUGAACGGCAAAACCUCUUCUAACUGUCUCCCCUCCCAUCCUUUUAAAUUUCCUCCUGUGUGAAGAAGCACAGAUAUAUCAGAAAGACGAGAAGACCCUGUCGAGCUUUAACCACUAAGUGGGCCUUACCCUUUUCAGGCACCACCUAAAGGUUUUGGUUGGGGCAACCAUGGAGAAAAAAGAUCCUCCAGAACAAAUAGAAGAAAGCUUUUCACUAUUUUACGACUGAGAACCAGGAACUGGUAUUCGGAAAAAGCUACCGCAGGGAUAACAGCGUCAUCUCCUCUAAGAGUCCUUAUUGACGAGGAGGUUUGCGACCUCGAUGUUGGAUUGGGGCCCCCUUAGGGUGCAGAAGCUCUAAACGGUUAGACUGUUCGUCUAUUAAAGCCCUACAUGAUCUGA